GCCCCUCUGGCCCAAAUGGAAGAGGCGUCGGAUUUAGGUUCCGAAGGUUCCCAGUUCGAAUCUGGGGAGGGGUACCA
rnacentral:tRNA from 1 species